rnacentral:rRNA from 1 species
GACAGAGGCCUCGAGCGUUAGGCGGAGUCACUGGGCUUAAAGCGUGUGUAGGCGGAUCGUUAAGUACCUUGUGAAAUCCCACGGCUCAACCGUGGAACGGCUGGGUAUACUGGCGGUCUUGGGCCAUUCAGGGGCGACUGGAACAAGCGGUGGAGCGGUGAAAUGCGUAGAUAUCGCUUGGAACGCCGAAGGUGAAAACAGGUCGCUGGGGAUGUGCCGACGCUGAGACACGAAAGCCAGGGGAGCAAACGGG